CCCCAGAUAGAGAAACCCAAGAGGUAGAACUGACGCCAAUCCGUUCAAACUGGCUGGUGAUUGGCUCCGGGGAGGCUUGUGUCACAAGCUGCUAAUUCUGUAAAAGACCAGUCCAAGACCUUGCAAUCCCCAUUGGGUAAGCGCUGUUUUUAGGCGCACUUUUUUUUCUGGCAGAGAGCCAUUUCUGUGACUGGCAGAAACCAUCCUGCCGCGACAGAAGAGCGAGGGGAAGGUUUCUGGAGGCCACGUUGGACAUUAUCAACCUCCAGCUAGAACUGUGUGUUUCUCUAUUUCUUCAGUCUUCUGUACUCUCUGACUGCAAAGGUCCAGUCCAUCCGGUGUUAGAGGCAUACCUCACAGAACAUCCUAGUUCAUGCAAAGAAAAAGCAUGGAAAUCCUGCGCUACUUUUCUCAGGUCCCCAAGGAGCAGAAUGACCCCAUAAUUUCUCAAGGGAAAAUGGAAUGUAGAAAAAGACCAAAGGAGGUGAUCAAAAACCAGGACCAAAGAUCACACUGGGAAGAAAAAAACCAACAAGUUCAGAACUCUUUCCAAAAUACAUCAAUUACUAUCACUUUUGGUGUAAACCAUGCAAUCUGUGAGGUCACAGAUAAGGGGACAAGUAACUUAUAUGAGGCACUGAAAACCCUUGACCUUGUCAAAAGGGAGAUAGAAAAACAGCCAGGCAAAGAAAUGCUGGCGUGUGGCAAAGAAGGAAUAGAAGGGUACAUAAACCUUGGUAUGCCCCUCCGUUGUUUUCCACAAGGCAGCCAUGUGGUCAUUACAUUUUCCAACACUGAAAGUGAGGAGAAAGAAGACAAUGAAGUGUGUGGCCGCUUUGACCAGUCAUCUGUUGAGUGUGUUGUAUUUUACAUUCAUGCAGUCGGGAAUAGGGAGCAAAGGAUUCUGAGGUGCAGGGAACUUCACAAGGAGGGCACCAAACUCUGUGUCUAUGGCUUCAAGGGAGAGAGCAUCAAGGCCACUCUGAGGAAGGAUGGCAGGUUUCACUCCUUUGUAGAGAGUGACCAUUGGACACUCAUUAACAAUGACAUCAUCGUAGCAAACAGCCAGCCAGUUGAUGUGUUGGAGGGCAAGCUCUUUCAGAUUGAUGUUGAGAGAAAGGAGCGCUCUUGGGCAGCAGUGGCAAGUCAGAAAUCUGAGUUAGAGGACAGAAACUUCACUGUAUUAAAAGAAUGCAUUGUGAAUUUGUACCCAAUGAUGAAAGGAGAACAGGAAAAACUGAGAACAUACAUCAAGGAAGAGAGUGAGAAAAGAGAGAACACUUCCUUACUCAAAGCUCAUAGAGAAAACUUCAGGAAGCUGACCCAAAGCUCCAUCCCAUGUAAAGUCCUCAGACUUCUUUCCCAGCUCAGUGACUCAGUUGGGUUCAUGGUUUGGAACAACAAUGGAAACAGGGGUAGUGCUACUUGCUUCCUUUUUAAAGGGCUGUACAUUUUCACUUGUCGACAUGUCAUAAAUGACAUAGUAGGGGAAGGCAUAGAGCCAAGUAAGUGGGCAGAUAUAAUUGGGCGUUGUCUAAGAGUGACGUUUGAUUUUCAAGUGUUCCCUGUCAAAGAAGACAGCUAUCAUUUUGUUGAACCUUGGUUUGAGGUGUCAGAUGUCACUCUUGACUAUGCUGUCCUGAAACUGAAGGAAAGAGGACAACACAUCCCUACAGGACUCGAGAACACUUUAUGGACUGAAACAUUUCUCCCACCAUGGAACUCCUGCUCCUCUCACAAGUUCUUGAAGUUCUGACCCACCUGUCUCCCUCUCCCAAGUGCUGGGAUUACAGGAAUAUGCCAUUACCUCAGGUGAAUAAGUGGCCAGGAACCAAAUUCAAAGCAUGCUAGGUGGAUGUGUCAUCAGGAAGCAAUCUGACACUCAUGCUAACAGUUUAGAGAGAAUAUUUCGCUGAGGGCAGCUAUGACGUGCCUGAGAAACUACAGAAGUCAGAAGGACUGAACGCAAUGGUAUGGGAAGGUUGAGAACAGACACUACUCACCAGCAAUUGCAUUGAUUCUUCACUCCGCCAGAGCUGAGUUACAUGCUGGAAAUUUCUGUCCAGUUGGCAGUAGAGAACAAACUACCAACACUUCCUCACAAAUCCCUUUUUUUUUUCUCCAGAUAGCAGCAGAAAUGAUGUCAACAUGCAUAAAUAGUCCUUGAAGUUUGGAAUUCAAAUCUGAACAAUAAUGAACAUCAAUGCACGGAUCCCUUAAAUGAAAGCUCCAUCUAAUUAGAGAACACUGUACUUGCAGAAUGGGGUAAAGUCACUGAGUCUCUGCUCGUCUCCAAGAUGAAGUAACACUUUCAGAAGACAUAGAAAAUCAUUUUAUUAUGAUCAAUGUUGUUGAUAGAUACAACAACUCAAGGGUAUAUAAGCCUGUGGCUGCCUCUGAAAUGGCUGGUCUAAUGCCCAACGUAUUGGUAGGAGGGUAAAGAUUCUGAAGAGGAAGGAAUUUCGCAAAAAUGAAGUAUAUUUUAUAUCUAUAUGCCCAAGUGGUGAGACUGUCAAAAGUGCUCUGUAAAGUUGGCCAACUCUGGUCUGACCUAAAUGAACUCAAAUGGACACUGCCAUAAUUAGCUUUAGCUGUCACCUUGACACAAACCUAAAGCCACCUGGGAAAAGUGAACCACUACUGAUGAACUUUCCACACCAGACUGUCCUGUGGCCAUAUCUGUGAAGCAUCCAGGGGAGAGCCCUCUGUGGGGAGGCCCAGCCCUAGGCAGGGGGGCCUCGAUUGUAGAAGAAAGGAAACUAAACAAGAAAGCAAGCAGUGCUCAUGUGUUUUCUCCUUCAAGCCCUUGUUUGAACUUCCUACCUUGCCUUCUCCUGAUGUUGGAUUGUAACCUGUUAAGUGAAAUAAACUCUUUCUUCCUCA